UACGAAGGGGGCUAGCGUUGCUCGGAAUCACUGGGCGUAAAGCGCACGUAGGCGGCUUUCUAAGUCAGGGGUGAAAUCCUGGAGCUCAACUCCAGAACUGCCUUUGAUACUGGAGAGCUUGAGUCCGGGAGAGGUGAGUGGAACUCUGAGUGUAGAGGUGAAAUUCGUAGAUAUUCGGAAGAACACCAGUGGCGAAGGCGACACACUGGGCCAUUACUGACGCUGAGGCGCGAAAGCGUGGAGAGCAAGCAGG
rnacentral:rRNA from 1 species